CCAAUAUCUCAUCCAAUCACAUGUCAUUUCAGGAGAGUCGUCCCAUCCUCUGUCUUCAAUACCAACAAGUAUAUGACUUAAAAUGCAUGCCCCUUACAUCCUGACUGGUCUACCAAUAACACUGAGUAGUUAUUCAGGAUGUAAGGGGAUUGGUAAUUCAGACUGACUGAUCUACCAAUAACAGUGAGUAGUUAUUCAGGAUGUAAGGGGAUUGGUAGUUCAGUCAGUCUGUCUGGAACAUGACCUUUGCUUGUCAUUCUGAUUGGUCUGCUAGAAUGCAUAUUGGAACAGAGAGGAAGUGCUCUAAACCCAACGGUUGCUUCCAAAAUGGCACCCUGUUCACUGUAGUGCACGACUUGUGGCCCCUAUGAGCCCUGGUCAAAAGUAGUGCACUAAAUAUGGAAUUAGGGUGCCAUUUGGGACACAAGACAAGUGUAAAUCGAGGCGCUCCGUCCAUCCAGCCAUCUGUGGUUAUUCUAUCCAUCUAUCUCCAGUCCGUAUUUAAAACCAGAGGACCGUAACUAUGGUGACGACCACGCUGCUGUAUGUAACUUGACUCCGUUAUUACAUGUAAGAAACGCUGAAUGAGCUCUUCUGUCCACACUACAAGGCUGAGUCACAAAUGGCACCCUAUUCCCUAUAUAGUUAACUACUGUAGUGGUGCAGUAUGCACAGCAGGGGUUCCCAAACGUGCUUCAUUAUUUUUUAUUGAGAUUGCCUUUGUUAAAUACAACACCAGCUUCAUUUUGUUUCAUUUGAGGGACCUAGGAAAAUGUCUCAUGACUUGUUUUAGGGAGGCGAUUUAUUUAACCUUUUAUUUAACUUGGCAAGUCAGUUAAGAACAAAUUCUUAUUUACAAUGACGGCCUACCAAGGCCAAACCCCCCUAACACUGACGACGCCUGACGACGCGGGGCCAAUUGUGCUCCACCCUAUGGUACUCCCAAUCACGCCUGGUUGUGAUACAGCCUGGAAUCGAACCAGGGUCUGUAGUGAUUCCUGUAGCACUGAGAUGCAGUGCCUUAAACAGCUGCGCCACUCAGGAGCCCCCAUGAUGAUGAUGAUGAUGAUGAUGAUGAUGAUAUCAACAAUAAUAAUAGAAAUAAAUAGUCCAGACCUGAUUUCCCCAAAUGUUUUCCGCUACCAAAUGUUUUAUUACGAUAAUUUAUAUGAACCUUCAAUUUAAUUAUGCAAAUUAUAUUUUACAGGAAGUGAUUCAAUUUAAUUAUGCAAAUUCUAUUUUACAGGAAGUGAUUCGAUCAAUUGAUAGCGACGGAGUCACACAUUGUAUAAGAUUACUCCGCAAGCGAAGUCCAAUUUCUUUUGACUCCUCGACUUUAGAAGGUCGUAAGCUCAGCUUCUCGAUGUCAUAGAGACAAAGCAAAUACAUUCCCCAUGUGCAUCCGAGUCGCGUCUUCCUCUUUGUCAUUUUACUACUUGUUUCUAGCCUAAUGCAUUGCGGAGUGACGCUUCAUUUUAGAUCGGAAGGUCCCGUGAUACUCAGACGCCCCGCCCCGUAUGUUUGGGACCCGUGAUGUAGAGAAUUAGGUGCCAUUUGGGAGCAGAACAUGAGGAGGAGGAUUCUGUUGGGUUCUGUCCAAUACAAGGACUUUAGAAGAAUCUGGACAAAUGUUUUGAAGGGUUUAGAAAACACAUCGAUGAUGAUGAUGAAGAACAUUCUCUCUGGCUUUUUAGUUCUUUACCAACCCUUUAGUUAGAAGUAUGUAGCUGUGUCGUCAUGUGUGUGUGUGUACGUGUGGUGUGUGUGUGUGUCGUUGUGGUGUGUGUACGUGUGGUGUGUGUGCGUGUGUGUGGUCUGUGAACGUUCCAAUCUAUAUACCUUCUCCUGGUUUUCCAUCCUUCCAUCCCUCCAAGUCCUCUGUUAACAUUCCAUCUCCAAGCUUUCCUCAAUUUAUUUUAGUGCCUUUCUGGAACACACUGAAUAAAAAAUGGUAUACCUCUGGAA